GGGAGGAUGUAGAGAAAAUUAGAACACUCAGGCACUGCUGGUAGGAAUGUAAAAUGGUACACCAACUUUGAAGAACAGCCCUAUAGUUCCUCACAUGGUUAAACAGCUACCACAUAGUCUAACAAUUCCAUUCACAUGUGUAUAUAUAAGAGAAAUGAAAAUGUGUGUCCAGUCACAAAAUUAUAAACGAAUGUCCACAGCAGUAGUAGUAUGUAUAAUAGGCAAAAAACAGAAACCACUCAGAUGUCCCUGUAGGGGUGGAAAGGUGUGGUACCUUUCCUCACCCAUCAUAAGAAUCACAACCAACACGCCUAUAGCAGGAGUUGGGUUAACAAGACAACAGCAUAAUAGCUUAUUUAAUCAAAGUUUUACGUGACAUAGGAGCCUUCAGAAAUAAAGAUCCAAAAACCAGGGAAAAUUUUGUAUGUUUAUGCUUAGGUUUAAUGAAGAAUGGAUGGCCAUGCAGAAAUAUGAUUAGAUUAAAAGGGUAUGAUCUAAUAGUAAUAGAUGGAGAGGGGGAACCCAGCAAGACCUGUCUGUUCAAAUCCUUCUUGGCCUCUCUGUGUAGCAUUCCUUCCUUGAGGAUUGGGCAAGAUCCUUCUGGGAUGAGAGUCUUCAAGGAAGAAGGGAAGAGGGAGAGUGAUCAUCCUAGGUUUUAUGGCUUGCUUUGGGGAGAGGAGUUCUAGGUUCUAUGACUCACUUUGGGGAAGAGAAAUUCUGGCUCCUAUGACUCACUUCCAGGGGUAAAGAUUUGGCACAUCUCUCAACUGGUGAAUGGAUAAAUGAAAUGUGAUAUACCCAUAUGAUGAGAUGCUAUUCAGCAAUAAAAAGAAAGAAAUACUGAUACAUUCUAUAAUCCAUAAAACCUUGAAAAGCCUUAUGCUAUGUGAAAGAAACCAGUCACAAAAGACCACAUAUUAUAUGAUUCCUUUUACAUGAAAGGUACAGAACAGGCAAAUCCAUAGAGACAGAAAAUGGGGGAUGAGGAGUUAAGGGGGACAGCUAAGGGGUGUGAGGUUUCUUUGGGAGGUAGAAAAAUAGAAAUGUCUGGAGCUUGGGAAUCUGGGAAGUGUUAUGGAAAGAUGAACCCCUGGGAGAGAGGAAGAAUAAAUAUAAGAGUGAAGUAGAAGGCUAGGGGCAGGGGCACAUCUUUGAAAACAAGCCUUACCUAUUUCACUGUUUUGCACAUAGAGAUAGUCCAAGAUCUGACAAAAGAGGAGUGUUAAUAAUCAUGUCUAAAAAACCUUCCUAGCAUUAAUAUUACCACUAACAAUAACCCUUUCUCCAUUGAAUAGUGUACCAGAUUGUAUUUUCCAGAAAUCGCAAUAUCUAUAAGGUUCUUCUAUCCCAUACGCUCUUUUUGCAAGAUGCCUGGCACUUCUUCACCAAGAGAUGGGAGUCUGUCUCCUCUCUUCAAAUCUUGGUGUGACUACCCUGACCAAUGGAAUAUGGUGGAAGCAAUGCUAUGUGACCUCUCAUAGGAUAUAGCUCCCACUUGGCUCUUUCAGGACACUUGCCUUUGGAACCCAGCUACCAUGUUUUAGGGAAGCCCAGGCCACAUGGAGAAGCCACAUGUGGGUGUUCUAAUCCACAGUCCCAGUUAGACCUUCAGUCAACAGUCAGCAUCAGUUGCCAGACAUGUGAGUGAAGAGCCUUCACAUGCUUCCAGUUCUGAAGCUUUGAGUUUUCCAGCCAAAACCAUUAACAGUGAGAAGCAGAGACAAGAAAUCCCUGCUGGGCCUGUCUGAAUUCUUGACCCACAAAAACUGCAGAGGAUAAUAAAUGAUUGUCUAGUUUUGAGUCACCACAUAUAUGGUAAUUUUGUUACACAGCAAUAGAUAACUAAUACAAAUGGUGUUGACAGUUUCAAAAGUUUUUCACAGUAAUCUGUUAGUUCAGGCAAGCACAAUGAGGAAAGUUCUUUCCAUUUUACAGAUAAAGAAAUUGAAAGGCAGAGACAUGUCUCUGGUGUUUUUUAUUGCAUGUGUACAUAUGCUAAAAGUUUUAAACUGCAUUAUUUACUUUUCUCAUUAUUACUGUUAACUUGAGAUUACUUAUAUUUUAUUAGAAAGGGAAACUUUGAUUCCCUUAAAAGGACUCAUAAAAAUAAAAAAUAAGGCAAGAGUCAAGGAAGUCAGACAAAUUGUUACUUCUUCUUCCUGAAUUUGGUACCACUUAUGCUCUAGUUUCCAACACUCAGUAACCUUAACGGUGAAUCAGUUUUAGAACUAUAUGACCACCU
rnacentral:lncRNA from 1 species